CACCAGACUCCUCCCACUUCCUCUUUCUUAGGUGAUGCCGAACAGGAUAGGAGAAAUGAACUUGUAAACUUGAAACAUUCUGCGGUUUAGUCCGUAGCAAGUCAACCAUGUAAACGGGUAGAUGGAGAGAUUAAUCCGAAGUUUUCACACUAGAAGAGAAGAAAAGAGACUUCGUGAAAGUAUGGUCUCUUGAGGAAGAGAAAAGUACAAAUACGCAUCCUGACUGAUUUGAGC